AGCCGCCCUCGUCCCGCCCCGCCCAGGCCCCGCCCCCCGGAGCCCCGCCCACGCCCCGCCCUCGACCCGCCCCCCGAGCCCCCGCCCUCGACCCGCCCCCCGAGCCCCCGCGCGCAGACCCCGCCUCCGACGCCCUGACCCGCGGGGCCCCUCGGGGGCGGGGCCGGCCUCCUGCGCAGGCGCGGCCGCGGGGUCGCCCGUCAGUGACGUCACAGGCGGCGCGUCAGACCCCGCGCCCCGAGCCCGGCUGCCGGCUGGAACCUGCGGGUGCGGCGUCCGAGGGGCGCGGCGACGGGGACGGGGACGGGGACGGGGAGGCCCGCGGAGCCCCCGGCGGUCGGAGGGACGCGGAGGCCGAGACGCGGGGCCGCCCCGGCCCGGCCCGGGAGGACCCGAGGAUGAAGGAUCCUGCCGCAGGUUUAUUUGUACAAACAGCACAGGAGGACACCAGGCCCGUGUACACGGAAGCCCAGCACUGGAGCCUCGGUGGGGGCCUGGGCACCUUUGGGAGCCUGCACUGCUGAGGCUUUUGCUUCGUUGCAAAGGAGAACGGGGAAAGGCCGUCCCUGAGACGCACACGAAUGAAAGAAACAGCCACCACGUCAGUACUGGAGAGAAACCCCUUGCGGCUCCCUGUGCCUGCCAGCAUCUGGGGUCCCCACAGCUGCCCUGA
rnacentral:lncRNA from 1 species